rnacentral:rRNA from 1 species
GAUGAACGCUGGCGGCGUGCUUAAUACAUGCAAGUCGAACGGACGGACGCGGCGCUUGCUUUGCUGUUGUUAGCCGCGGACGGGUGUGUAACACGUGGAUAACCUACCUAUCAGACUGGGAUAACUUCGGGAAACCGGAGCUUAUACCGGAGAAUAUUUUGAACCGCAUGGUUCAAAAGUGAAAGACGGUGUUGCUGUCACUUCUAGCUGGUUCCGCGCUGCAUUGGCUGGUAGUUAAGGUAAAGGCUUACCACGGCAACGAUGCGUAGCCGACCUGAGAGGCGGAUAGGCCACACGGGAACGGAGACAGGGUCAAGACUCCUACGGGAGGCAGCAGUAGGCAAUCGGACGCAAUGGGGGAAAGCCUGGCGCAGCAGCGCCGCGUGAGUGAUGAAGGUCUCCGGAGCGUAAUACCCGGUUAUUAGGGAAGAACAGAUGUGGAAGUAAACGUGCACAGCGUGACGGUACCUAAUCAGAAAGCCACGGCUAACUACGUG